rnacentral:rRNA from 1 species
UACGUAGGGGGCAAGCGUUGUCCGGAAUCAUUGGGCGUAAAGCGCGUGUAGGCGGCCCGGUAAGUCCGCUGUGAAAGUCCAGGGCUCAACCCUGGAAUGCCGGUGGAUACUGUCGGGCUCGAGUCCGGAAGAGGCGAGUGGAAUUCCUGGUGUAGCGGUGAAAUGCGCAGAUAUCAGGAGGAACACCGAUGGCGAAGGCAGCUCGCUGGGACGGUACUGACGCUGAGACGCGAAAGCUAGGGUAGCGAACGGG